AAGGCAAGGACUAUGUCCUAUUCCACCUUGAAUUCUCAUCACCAAGCGGAACGCCUGACACCUAAUCUAGUCAGUGCUUACUAAGUGCUCAUUAUCAAUGCAAGAAUAACAGAGCUAUGGAACCUGGCAGCCACCUCUUUUCUUUGGGCCUCAGUCUUCUCAUGCAGAACUUGGGAUUGGACUAAAUUGGAUCUCCUAGGCUGCCUCUGACUCUAACAAUUCUCUGAUUUAAAUUAUUCUUCAUCUGGAUGUAAUCCACCUUGCUUUUCCAUCCCAGGCUCUGUUCUCACUCAUGGCUGAUGGGCAAAGGCGACUAAGGAGGCACGGCUCCGUGAGGAUGUCCUUACAACUUUGCAACCCCCAAGGAAAAAGAGAUGUGGAUUUUAUGGAAUAGAUGCUAUGUGGUGGAAUCCUGAGUCACGGCCAAACAGCAAAUGCCAGCAAGAGUAGAGUAGGAGGCAUUUCUGUGUACACUUUG
rnacentral:lncRNA from 10 species